CAGCAACGUCCAUCCGUGCAAACCUCUUCAUUAGUGCGACAAGGUCACCAUGAUCUUGGGCAUUUGUCGGGUUUCCUGUGUUGCAUACCUAAUAAAUGGUAUCGAAUUGUUCAAUCGAUGUACCUUUUCGUCUUGUGUUGCUCAUGCGGCAUGGGGCGAACAUGGAAGCGGUCCUUUUGAUCCAUCCCGUCGAUGCAAGCGCAUCUUCGUUGUGGCUUGUUGGGCAUCGCUUGGUUUCCUGGAUACUGAAGCUUAUGUGGGUAUGGGGCCUUUAUGGCCAUGCGUUUACCCUUAUCAAAGCGUUAUCGCUUUCCUGAAACGACCAGCGGUCAUGUGUCGGAAUUUUCGUCCGUGGCCGGUGACGUCGACG
rnacentral:misc_RNA from 1 species